rnacentral:tRNA from 1 species
GCCGCUGUGGUGAAAUGGUAUACACACUACACUUAAAAUGUAGCGCCCUCAAGGCAUGCCGGUUCGAGUCCGGCCAGCGGCA